rnacentral:rRNA from 1 species
UACGUAGGGUGCAAGCGUUGUCCGGAAUUAUUGGGCGUAAAGAGCUCGUAGGCGGUCUGUCGCGUCGGCUGUGAAAACUCGGGGCUCAACCCCGAGCCUGCAGUCGAUACGGGCAGACUAGAGUGCUGUAGGGGAGACUGGAAUUCCUGGUGUAGCGGUGAAAUGCGCAGAUAUCAGGAGGAACACCGGUGGCGAAGGCGGGUCUCUGGGCCGUAACUGACGCUGAGGAGCGAAAGCGUGGGGAGCGAACAGG